UCAACGGAUAAAAGGUACUCCGGGGAUAACAGGCUGAUACCGCCCAAGAGUUCAUAUCGACGGCGGUGUUUGGCACCUCGAUGUCGGCUCAUCACAUCCUGGGGCUGAAGCCGGUCCCAAGGGUAUGGCUGUUCGCCAUUUAAAGUGGUACGCGAGCUGGGUUUAGAACGUCGUGAGACAGUUCGGUCCCUAUCUGCCGUGGACGUUUGAGAUUUGAGAGGGGCUGCUCCUAGUACGAGAGGACCGGAGUGGACGAACCUCUGGUGUUCCGGUUGUCACGCCAGUGGCAUUGCCGGGUAGCUAUGUUCGGAAAAGAUAACCGCUGAAAGCAUCUAAGCGGGAAACUUGCCUCAAGAUGAGAUCUCACUGGAGCCUUGAGCUCCCUGAAGGGCCGUCGAAGACUACGACGUUGAUAGGCAGGGUGUGUAAGCGCUGUGAGGCGUUGAGCUAACCUGUACUAAUUGCCCGUGAGGCUUGACCAUAUAACACCCAAGCAAUUUGG
rnacentral:rRNA from 1 species